GCUUAUACUCGACCGUCUGCAGUACGUGCGAUCGCGUCUAAGCGAUUACGAAGCCUUGACGAGUAGGAGGGCCGCGGCGGUGUGCGCAGAAAGGCUCUUCGCGAGGCCGUCUGGAGCCGCUCGCCGGUCCAGAUCUUGGUGGUAGUAGCAAAUACUCCAGCGAGGCCCUGGAGGACUGACGUGGAGAAGGGUUUCGUGUGAACAGCCGUUGCACACGAGUCAGUCGAUCCUAAGCUCUAGGCGAAAGCCGAUGUCAAUGCGGUGUAGCUUUAUGAUACGAACAAAACGAUAAUCGUUACGUAACGCUUACACGAUCACACCCAUCGGGCGAAAGGGAAUCCGGUUCCUAUUCCGGAACCUGGUASCGGAGCCGUAAAAAAGUCGGCC
rnacentral:rRNA from 1 species